rfam:Loxodonta africana cont3.46467, whole genome shotgun sequence.
AAAGAAUUCACAAACUGCAGUUUGUUCCUUGUAGUGCAUCUUUCAAAAGAAAUCUUCAUCUAGUAGGUAAGAC